CCGAGUGCGGGCCCUCUGGGUCCAACCUCCCACCCGUGUUUAUCGUACCUUGUUGCUUCGGCGGGCCCGCCGCUCUGGCGGCCGGGGGGCUCUCGCCCCCGGGCUAGCGCCCGCCGAAGACACCAACGAACGCUGUCUGAAGAUUGCAGUCUGAGCUUAUUAGCUAAAUCGGUUA
rnacentral:misc_RNA from 1 species